rnacentral:piRNA from 1 species
UGAGGGCUCCAACAGUGACAUGUA